rnacentral:rRNA from 1 species
UGGGGAAUAUUGGACAAUGGGCGCAAGCCUGAUCCAGCAAUGCCGCGUGGGUGAAGACGGCCUGCGGGUUGUAAAGCCCUUUAGGCGGGGAAGAACGGCCGGGCGCAAAUAGCGCGCGGCUCUGACGUUACCCGCAGAAUAAGCACCGGCUAACUCCGUGCCAGCAGCCGCGGUAAUACGGAGGGUGCGAGCGUUAAUCGGAAUUACUGGGCGUAAAGCGUGCGUAGGCGGUUCGGUCAGUCAGCCGUGA